rnacentral:pre_miRNA from 1 species
AAAGUGCUCCCUCCGUCCCAAAAUUCUUGUCUUAGAUUUGUCUAGAUACGGAUGUAUCAAGUCACAUUUUAGUAUUAGAUACAUCCGUAUCUAGACAAAUCUAAGACAAGAAAUUUGGGACAGAGGGAGUAGUUG